rnacentral:rRNA from 1 species
AGAGUUUGAUCCUGGCUCAGGAUGAACGCUGGCGGCAGGUUUGACACAUGCAAGUCGAACGAGAAGCCGGUGCUUGCACCGGUGGAGAGUGGCGAACGGCUGAGUAACACGUAGGAACUUACCCCUCGGACUGGGAUAACGGCUUGAAAAGGCCGCUAAUACCGGAUAUAUUCUUCGGAAGGAAAUGGUCCGCCGCCGGGGGAGAGGCCUGCGGCAUAUUAGCUUGAUGGUGAGGUAAUGGCUCACCAUGGCUAUGAUAUGUAGCUGGUUUGAGAGGACGACCAGCCAGACUGGGACUGUGACACGGCCCAGACUCCUACGGGAGGCAGCAGUUCAGAAUCUUGCCCAAUGGACGAAAGUCUGAGGCAGCCAUGCCGCGUGCACGAAGAAGGCCCUCGGGUCGUAAAGUGCUGUCAGAGGGGAAGAUAGUGACGGUACCCUCAAAGGAAGCCACGGCUAAUUACGUGCCAGCAGCCGCGGUAAUACGUAAGUGGCGAGCGUUAUCCGGAAUCACUGGGCGUAAAGCGUUCGUGGGCGGCGUGGUAAGUCGGAUUUGAAAGACCGGGGCUCAACUCCGGAUCCGGAUCCGAAACUACUACACUUGAGCAGAUCAGAGGGCAGUGGAAUUCCCGGUGUAGCGGUAAUAUGCGUAGAUAUCGGGAGGAACACCAGUGGCGAAGGCGGCUGCCUGGGGUCUUGCUGACGCUGAGGAACGAAAGCUAGGGGAGCGAACGGGAUUAGAUACCCCGGUAGUCCUAGCUGUAAACGAUGGACACUAGGUAUCGGGGGCUUCGACCCCCUCGGUGCCGCAGCUAACGCAUUAAGUGUCCCGCCUGGGGAGUACGGCCGCAAGGCUAAAACUCAAAGGAAUUGACGGGUCCCCGCACAAGCAGUGGAGCAUGUGGAUUAAUUCGAUUCUACGCGAAGAACCUUACCAGGACUUGACAUCCCGCAGAAAGCUUUUAGAAAUAUUAGCCCUCUUCGGACUGCGGUGACAGGUGGUGCAUGGCUGUCGUCAGCUCGUGCCGUGAGGUGUCAGAUUAAGUUCUGUAACGAGCGCAACCCUCGUUGCUAGUUGCCAUCAUUAAGUUGGGCACUCUAGCGAGACUGCCAGCGUCAAGCUGGAGGAAGGCGGGGAUGACGUCAAGUCAUCAUGCCCCUUACGUCCUGGGCUUCACACGUGCUACAAUGGCCGGUACAACGGGUUGCCACUUCGCGAGAAGGAGCGAAUCCCUUAAAGCCGGUCUCAGUUCGGAUUGGAGGCUGCAACUCGCCUCCAUGAAGUUGGAAUUGCUAGUAACCGUGGGUCAGCAUGCCGCGGUGAAUACGUACCCGGGGAUUGUACACACCGCCCGUCACACCAUGGAAGUUGGUAACACCCGAAGUCCGUGAGCUAACCGCAAGGAGGCAGCGGCCGAACAUGGGACCAAUGACUGGGGUGAAGUCGUAACAAGGUA